rnacentral:rRNA from 1 species
AACGAACGCUGGCGGCAUGCCUAACACAUGCAAGUCGAACGAGACCUUCGGGUCUUGUGGCGCACGGGUGCGUAACGCGUGGGAACCUGCCCUUAGGUUUGGAAUAACUCCCCGAAAGGGGUGCUAAUACCGGAUCAUGUCUUCUGCCCAAAGAUUUAUCGCCUUUGGUUGGGCCCGCGUUGGAUUAGCUAGUUGGUAGGGUAAAAGCCUACCAAGGCGACGAUGCAUAGCUGGUAUGAGAGGAUGAUCAGCCACACUGGGACGAGGACACGGCCGAGAAUCCUACGGGAGGGAGGAGAGGGGAAUAGUGGAAAGUGGGGGAAAGGAUGAACCAGCAAGGACGGGAGAGUGAUGAAGGCAGUAGGGUAGUAAAGCGCAUUUAACCAGGAUGAUAAUGACAGUACCGGGAGAAUAAGCCCCGGCUAACUCCGUG